AUUGAACGCUGGCGGCAUGCUUUACACAUGCAAGUCGAACGGCAGCACGGGGCGAACCUGGUGGCGAGUGGCGAACGGGUGGAGUAAUACAUCGGAACGUGCCCAAUCGUGGGGGAUAACGUAGCGAAAGUUACGCUAAUACCGCAUACGAUCUACGGAUGAAAGCGGGGGAGUCGCAAGACCUCGCGCGAAUGGAGCGGCCGAUGUCAGAUUAGGUAGUUGGUGGGGUAAAGGCUCACCAAGCCGACGAUCUGUAGCUGGUCUGAGAGGACGACCAGCCACACUGGGACUGAGACACGGCCCAGACUCCUACGGGAGGCAGCAGUGGGGAA
rnacentral:rRNA from 1 species